AAGUCGGACGCUUAACCGAUUGAGCCACCCAGGCGCCCCUAGUGUUAAGUAUCAUGCUGCUUGUUCCUGACCAUUCGUCAGAAUUUCCUUCCUUUCUAAGACUGAACGAUAUUUCAUUGUAGUAAGUUGGAUUAAUUCAAGAACAAGCCUUCUGAGCUCAGUUGAUUCGAGAACGAUCACCCAUUGGAGAGUUGCGCUGCGCAAGAAAGACUUCUUCACAUUGCCCCAGUACUCUGCUUUGAAGAUAUGCACAGUAAGGCACCGAGGGGACCAGUGGGACAUGCGUGCAAAUCCAAGUCUACCAACUCUCAAAAGAAAACUUUCGCGACAGCAGAGGAGUGUCUCUGUAGAGAUUAAAAGAUAGCGUACAUCCCUAGGUGGAUAUACUUGCAUCUUUACACGUGUAUGUAAAACAAAUAUAAGUUUCACAUUGCUUCCCACCUACCCACUGUCUUUUCCUUGUAAUGCUUUCCUUUGAGCAAAAAGUUAAACUUCAAGGGCACCUGAAGUUAAGCUUCUGACUCUUGAUUUCGGCUCAGGUCAUGAUCUCACGGUUUGUGCGUUCCAGCCUCGCAUCCGUCUUGACUCAGUGCCAUUGUUGUGAAAUCAUAUCCUAACGGCCACACAAUCAAUGCUUGGGGUUCCCUCUCUCCCUCUCUCUCUGCCACUCCUCCACUCAAGCUCUCUGUCUCUCUCAAAAGAAAUAAAUAAACUUAAGAAAAGUUUAACUUCUCAGUGUGUUUUCAUUCUAUGAUUAUUAACGAUUGACUGCUGUCAGGUCAAUUUAUGUAUUUGCCAAAUCAAUGGCAAGUUUAAACAAGCUUAAGAAGUUUGGGAACUGUCUGUAAGGUAGGUUCCAUUU